rnacentral:rRNA from 1 species
GACGAACGCUGGCGGCAUGCCUAACACAUGCAAGUCGAACGGAGAUUAUUUCGGUAAUCUUAGUGGCGAACGGGUGAGUAACGCGUGGGCAACCUACCCUCUAGAUGGGGACAACAUCCCGAAAGGGGUGCUAAUACCGAAUGUGACAGCAAUCUCGCAUGAGGAUGCUGUGAAAGAUGGCCUCUAUUUAUAAGCUAUCGCUAGAGGAUGGGCCUGCGUCUGAUUAGCUAGUUGGUGGGGUAACGGCCUACCAAGGCGUUGAUCAUUAGCCGGUCUGAAAGGAUAAACAGCAACAGGGGGACUGGGAAACGGCGCAGACUCAUACAGAGGGCAGCAGUGGGGAAUCUUCCGCAAUGGGCUAUAGCCUGACGGAGGAAUGCCGCGUGAGUGAUGAAGGAAUUCGUUCCGUAAAGCUCUUUUGUUUAUGACGAAUGUGCAGUUUGUGAACAAUGAUUUGUAAUGACGGUAGUAAACGAAUAAGCCACGGCUAACUACGUGCCAGCAGCCGCCGUAAUAC